ACACCCAGAAAGUACAGGAAAGGCAGACGACAACUGUGCUCCGCAGAGCGGGAGGUGGGGGGAACGGCGGAAUAUUAAGGUGGGUAGGUGUCUCUCCAUGCUUCAUCAGCCUGAAAACUAAUUUCUCAGGCGACCGGAAUUACAGCAUUUCUUGGUAGAGGAAACUAUCCCUCAGCCAACCGCUAGCGGUCUUAGACGGUCUGUCUUUUGUCCAGGAGCUCAAGAAGCAGAGACUCUACCUGCCCUAGGCGUUCGUGAAGAGAAGCAGCUGUUGCUAUUGGAGGAGGUGGGUGCAAGGACGGCAGAUGCCAUCCCUGAGAGGCGGUGACUGAGACUAGAUGCGGGUACAGGAACUCAGAGUGGUUUUCCAGAUGGGAAUCACAUUGCUCUCUGUCCCUGAGAUCUUGCUGGAGACAGGGCUACUCAGUCCCUCUUUGCCAGAUUGAUACUGGAAAAGCAGUUUCUAUUGAGCCCCCAAAUGAAGAGUGAGUGCAGAUGAAGAGGAGGCAGGACUCACAAGCCCUUGAACUUUAUUCCAGAUCUGUUAGCACCUACAGGACCCUGCACCAGGAUUUCAUCUGUACUAUCAGCUUCUUCAAAGAGAGAGAGGUUGUUGAAUUGAUAUUGGAAAAGCAGUUUCCCAUUGAGUCUCAAAUGAAGAGAGUGCAGAUGAAGAGGAGGUAGGAGUCACAAGCCCUUGACCCUCAUGCUAGACCCAUUACCACCCACAGGACCUUGCAGUGGGAUUUCAUCUGCACCAUCAGCUUCUUCAGAGAGAGAGGUUGUUGACUCUUCAUGUGGAUGUCUGAGCUCAUAUCAGGUGUCUGAAAGAGGCAGAUUCUGAGGAUUUGGGUCAUGAUGGCUGCCAAAGCUUCUACUCCUGACUUAAAGGGCAACAAUCCUAGGAGACCACCAGCACUUACAUCCCUGGUAGGACAUGACACCUGCUUAUGGCUCAGAAGUGACAAAAGAGAAUUAUCAGGAUGGCAGUCCUUAUAACCAGAUGCUUAUCAACAUUCUUCACUACAUUCUGAAGAUGAAUUUCUACAAGGGAAAUUGUUUAUGGAGGCAGCAGAUGGCUGAAAUUCUGAUCCGAUGUGGCUGGUUAAUGCAUGAUCUGAAAACCCCUGCACUGGUGAUUUUGGGACAGAUCUAGAAUAUACCAAUAAAUAUAUUAACAUACCAAGUAGUCUAGGAGCAGCCACUGGGCGAACACCAAACCUUGCAUCCCUGCUGCUGUCUCUGAGCUCAGCAGACACGUCUUUGCAGAAGAGUUCUAUAAUGGUGGUACAAUGGUGCCCCCUCGUGACAGAAGCUUGAACUACAGCUUGAACAUCGAGAUGAAAAUAUACUGUCUACGUUGUUCAACACAAUAGCUAAUGGCAACUGUGGCAGUUGAACACCCGAAACGUGAUGAAUGUGACUGAGGAACUGAACUUUUAGUUUCAUUGUGACAUGAUGAAUGAAUUUAUUGAGCCCCAGGAAGAAGGAAAAUUAAAGAAGAGCAAAGAAUAAUAGCUGGACAGAAGAUGGGGGUCAUUGAACCUAUAUCCUAGUUGCCAGACCAGUAAACUGACCAUGGGACCUGGGGGAGGCAGCAGAUGACCGAAAACCUGGAGUGAUGUGGCUGAAUACCGCAUGAUCUGAAGACUGCACUGGUGGCUGCGGUAUGGGUCCAAAUUUUUCCUUAACAAAAACAAAAAAAGAGCCCAAAACCAUACUGACUAGUCCAGGAAUAGCCAUUAGGCAAACAACUUUUUGCUACCCUGGUGUUACCGAUUUCUGAACUCAACAGGUGAAUUCAAAGAUAUGCCUGUCUUUCCAGCAUGGGGAGCUGGAUUUGGGUCAGCUCAGGCGCAUGAUGUUGAACAGCUCUUAUGAGCUUCUGAUAGUGCCCAGGAAGUACAGAAACAACUGUCUACAAAUCUUUGAACUCAAGGCAUAUCACAGGGACAUUUGCUUUCUUCAACUAGAUAUCUGUUUUCUCAUAAAGAGAAACAAUGAGAAAUGGUUUUUCACAAUGCCUC
rnacentral:lncRNA from 1 species